UGGGGAAUAUUGCACAAUGGGCGCAAGCCUGAUGCAGCCAUGCCGCGUGUAUGAAGAAGGCCUUCGGGUUGUAAAGUACUUUCAGCGGGGAGGAAGGCGACAGGGUUAAUAACCCUGUCGAUUGACGUUACCCGCAGAAGAAGCACCGGCUAACUCCGUGCCAGCAGCCGCGGUAAUACGGAGGGUGCAAGCGUUAAUCGGAAUUACUGGGCGUAAAGCGCACGCAGGCGGUCUGUCAAGUCGGAUGUGAAAUCCCCGGGCUCAACCUGGGAACUGCAUUCGAAACUGGCAGGCUAGAGUCUUGUAGAGGGGGGUAGAAUUCCAGGUGUAGCGGUGAAAUGCGUAGAGAUCUGGAGGAAUACCGGUGGCGAAGGCGGCCCCCUGGACAAAGACUGACGCUCAGGUGCGAAAGCGUGGGGAGCAAACA
rnacentral:rRNA from 1 species